rnacentral:rRNA from 1 species
UACAGAGGGGGCAAGCGUUGUUCGGAAUUACUGGGCGUAAAGGGCUCGUAGGUGGCCAACUAAGUCAGACGUGAAAUCCCUCGGCUUAACCGGGGAACUGCGUCUGAUACUGGAUGGCUUGAGGUUGGGAGAGGGAUGCGGAAUUCCAGGUGUAGCGGUGAAAUGCGUAGAUAUCUGGAGGAAUACCGGUGGCGAAGGCGGCAUCCUGGACCGAGAUUGACGCUGAUGAGCGAAAGCUAGGGGAGCAAACGGGG